AUGAGUCGUCCACCUGCGAACGUGGCGGAUGGAGACGCUCGUCCGCGCUCUCCGCCUCUGCUCCCCGUUCGCGUGCCGUGGGCGGAACCACGCCGGCGCCCGUUAUGGCCGCCGGCGGAGCCUGCGGAGCCUGCGCGUCAGGAGGCGCCCUCUGGGCCCUUAGGUUUUGUCCCUUCUAUGCCACCGCUGGCGGAUCGUUGGCCGUGGGCUGGCGCUCGUACCCGUGCGCGCGGGGGGCUCGCCGCCGACAUCGUUCACCAAAAACUUUGCCCACGGGACGCCGCGCUCGGGGCGGGAGCUGCGGGCUUUCGGCGGCUGUCGCGGCUCUUUCACGCGUCUCUUUGGCGGGAGCUCAUUUGUUCCGGGCCGCCGGUCGAUUCACGUCGCACGCGAAUGAAAAUCGUUAAUUUUGUCCGCUCGUUCCCCGGCGAGGCGUUCGCGCCGCAGGCGGCCGUGGCUCUUGAAACGCGAUCCGCCGACACGUCGCCGCUCGGGCGUCGGGGGCUCCCGGGCCUGGAGGGGAGGAGAAAUAGUGCCCGGAAGAGCAGACGUCCAACGACGAACCUGGAAAUGGUGCGUGCGUGCGUGCGCGCGUGUGCUUCUUCCUCCAUCCCCCACACUUUCUGUUUCAAAUUAAAGGGAAAAGACAACUGUUUGAAAACUGCCAAGGAGCGUCUGCUCCAGCGUCAGCCCUCAUUACCUUACAGGGGCGCCGGCGAAGGCGGCUGCCGCGUGUCGGCGUCGAGGCGCAGGCGGGCGCCGCGUCGAGGGCCUCCCUGCCUCCGCCGGGCCCGUCGCCCUCCCGUGCGCUCGAGGAGCGAGCGCGGAGGGCGGCCCGGGGGAGCAGCCGGGUGCCUUAUUAUGGCACUUCUGCGAGCGGCGCUUGUCUGCAUCUCAAACGCUGUUUUGGUGCCUCUUCUCCUGCGCCUGCCCACGUGUCAGCUCGGCACAGCACACGCACUUGAACCUCGACCUCCCGCCACGUGGUUUGUGUCUUACGGGUGUGAGAUUGAGAAAGUGCAGCUGAAACCGGAUUAUUUAAUGUGGUGGAAACCCUCAUUAAUCAAGGCCACGUGGCCCCAGUUCCUCUCCAUUCCUUUCCUCUUCAGCUCCUCUCCUCUCUCCUCUUCUCUCCAAAAGGACCCUUCCACGACCAGCGGCACAGGAUCGGAGGAAGAGCGAGACGUGCGAACGGGGUCGUGUUAA
rnacentral:lncRNA from 1 species